rnacentral:lncRNA from 1 species
GCACGGUAACUUCCAGGCAGGGUGUUUUCCAUUUCAUCGACAUGAUCUGGAUGCCAACGAAAUGAAGACCAUUUCUGGCGAAGGAAAUGACAGAUUAAAUUAUAGCGGGUCGGCUGCUCCAAGCUUGCCUUAUGGCUGAGAUGAUGCAGAAGAUUUGCUUCUUUCCCAUGUCCCCCAGUCUCGUAGAAAAGGACUGCAAGACUUUAUGUCUAGUACAGAUUUCACAAAGUAUUUUGACAAAAAGAGAGUCUUCACUGGUGGGCAGUGCAGAGAAAUUGAACUGAGCGGGUGUGGAGAGCAGCACUGUCGCUGUCCGUGUUUGGAAAUGGUGAGUGCAUAGUGUCUCAUUCCUGGGGGUAUGGGAAUUCCUAGCCAAGAAACAAAACGGCUGUUGCAAGAAAUCACUAACCAGUGCCACCAGGACUGGUGUCCCGCAGCUUUUCCAGUGCAGAGGGGAAGAUGUGGGUGCAGAAAUGCCUGAAUCUUUUAUGGUUUUUUGGAUGAAUCUGGAGAAACUCAAAUGGUGUUAUAAGGGCCAAAAGUUUAUCUGUUCUGGACAUGGUAACAGAACGUGUCAGGAUGGACUAUGAGGAGUUUGGGAGGGAGCCCGCUGCCCUCUUUUCUUACCCCUCCAUUCCAAAAUUACUUAAAAUAUUGCUGAAAUUCCAGUAUUAAAACAGAGCAGAUAUUCAUCUUCUGUAUAAGAAUUCUUGCACCUUUUGGUAACAUAAAAGCUGAUCUUGGUAUCCCUGUACAAAAAUCUCUGUUCUUUGCAAUGUUGAACAUGAUGGUUCUUGUCCUGAAGGUUUCUGCCCUUCACACUAGCAGCGCCUGUAUGUUGUCGGCACUGAAAUCAUGGCAAAUCAUCUAGAAGCCCUCUGGAAUCACUUACUCUUAUAUACGACCUUUUAAGAUUUAAAAAACCUGAAAUCAAAUAAUCCAUUAGUAACUUCAUCUGGAAAGGAUUGGAGUCCAAUAGAGAACAGGCACAUGAAGGUACUUGUGCACUCCCCAUUCUGGGAAGUGGUUUAGUGUACUGUGUUUAUAAGCCAACCAAUGUCUAAAAUCAAACCAAGGCAUAGCAAGAGCAGGGCAGACAUCAAGGUAGGGAUGAUGUCUGAGCAUGCUGGUGGCUGGGAGAGGAGCCCGUACUUCCCUUGAAGUCCCAGCGUCAAAG